rnacentral:rRNA from 1 species
AAACUUUCAACAACGGAUCUCUUGGCUCUGGCAUCGAUGAAGAACGCAGCGAAAUGCGAUAAGUAAUGUGAAUUGCAGAACUCAGUGAACCAUCGAAUCUUUGAACGCACAUUGCGCCCGCCAGUAUUCUGGCGGGCAUGCCUGUUCGAGCGUCAUU